rnacentral:lncRNA from 1 species
UGUGAAAUGGAGCUAAUAAUAAUAACCUAACAGGGUUGUAGUUAUUUAAUAAAAUAUCCCAGCACUGUUUCUGUUCCCUAGUCAAUGUACAAUUCACAGUCUUUUCCCCCAUUCCCUAUGAGAAGGCACGGGAGCUUCUAGACUCUGGGCAGAGCCCCAGACACAGCAGUCAGGAUGCUCAGAUGGAGAAGAAAAGCCCUUAAAGCUCUCUGUAGCAGCUAGCGCUACCUGUGUUUGGAAGGCAGCCAGAGCCCCACAGACAUGCAUGGGAACACCCAGGAUUGUAAUGGAAGAGGUACAAUGCCAAUCAUUUAAAUUUAGGUGUUCUUGGUGUCCUAAUUUGAUGGAAGGGUAAACUGAGGCAGACAGUGGGGAAACGAUAGAUAAUG